GACCAUGUUAUUUUACCUUUAUUCUAAUAGGAGAACGUGCACAGCUUUGGCCGGAUGUCUAGAGUCGCCUCCACUUUUAAGGAACACACUUGCGACGUGUUUUUGUAACGUCAGUGAUGUUUCCACGUUCCCCUCGGGCAGCACUCCCUCACUCCGAGGUGGGAGGAAGUACUCUCCUUUUGCUCAGGGGGUGCACAAGAACUCUCAAUGGGUGUGGGCAUGGCCCCUUUAAGAAUUAGAAUGGGUUUCCGGGGCUUUGGGAUUUCGGCCCUUUCUUAGAUGCUUAGGAACAACUUGGGAAUACAAAGUUAAGUUAUGUGCAAUAUUAAAAGGGGUGCAUUUAUAAGGGAAGAACAUCGCACAUUUCGGAGGAAAUUCAGCUGAGAUGAAAAAGCAAAGUGUCCGAUUCUUAUUUGUCCGCUAUUUGUGGGAUCUUCGGGCUGCUCCCUGACAGCCCAGGAGAGUCCCUUUGGGUGCAAGGUGGCCAGGACCCUCCUGGCUCCUGAGGGCCCUCUCCUCGUCAGUCGUGGGGUGGGGGCGCCAAGGUGGAGCGGGCAGGAUUCUCGGUCAGAGGAGGACCACUGCCCCGGGCCGGGCCGCGGGUGUUUGAACGUCACCUGCCUUGAGCCGUUUGCCCGGUUGUCAGUCUGGACGAGGCUUCCUCGAACAUCUCUACACACAUCACUGUGAUUGGGUCUCUUUUUCAUUACGAAAAGUUUCUAGAAGCGGAAUUAGUCUUUGGGAGGGAAUAAACAUCUUAAAGGCUGUUUAUAAAUCCCCGGAGAAAAGUCUCAUCGAUGUGUAACCCUACCAGGGGCCCCUCACCAACAAGAUGAAUCACGAUUAGAAACUUCGUUUGCCAAGUUGCUUAGUGAGCAGUGACCAGAGUUACUCCGUCUUAAUCCGUUGAACUUCAGCUUGAGUCCUGGCGACCCCACCCUUCCCACUGCGCCAGGCCCCUGCUGUCCACUAGUGAGGACCGGUUGGGCAUCACGUGUCCAGGAGACGUUUUUCAUUUUGAGUUCAUGACGCUCUGGGGUGGGAAGAAUUAUUUCCUCUUCCUGAGACACAGAAAGGCCCCAGGUUCCGUGAAGGGCCAGCUCUGAGUGUGAUACUUUCUCCCCGGAGGGCUGGUGUGGGCAUUCUCCCCUCACACCCGGCGUGUGUUCAGGGCCAGGACUCUGGGUGUCUUGGUUUAUUUUAUAGGUGGGUGUACUUUUGUCUUAAUUUUUGUUUGUUUGUUUGCACUUCGGUUGCAACCCUGGCAUGUGGAAGUUCCUGGGCUGAGGACUGAACCCCAAGUCACAGCAGGGACAGUGCUGGAUCUUAACCUACUGAACCGCAAGGGAACUCCAGUCUUGUUUUUCUUAAACUCCUGUAUUCACAGUUAAUUUACAUGCAAUAAGAUGCACACAUAUUAAAACAGAGUUGGGGAGUUCCCAUCGUGGCGCAGUGGUUAAUGCAUCCGACUAGGAACUAUGAGGUUGUGGGUUUGAUCCCUGGCCUUGCUAGGUGGGUUAAGGAUCCAGCAUUGCCGUGAGCUGUGGUGGAGGUCGUAGAUGCGGCUCGGAUCCCGCGUUGCUGUGGCUCUGGCAUAGGCUGGCAGCUACAGCUCCGAUUCGACCCCUAGCCUGGGAACCUCCAUAUGCCGUGAGAGCGGCCCAAGAACUGGCAAAAAGACAAAAAAAAAAAAAAAAAAAAAAAAAACCCAUAAAAAUGCCACCACCACCAACAACAAAAAAACAGAGUUGGACGAGUUGAGAAAUACGGACUGUCAGGAGAUCAGCCCCACCGUCCAGAUGGAGGCCCCCCCAUCCCCCCAUUGACCUGAAAGCCCUUUGCACAAUCCCACCCACAGUCAGCGGAUUCCAGUAGCGGAGGUGCUGGGGGUCCAUGCACAGGGACCCUUCCCACCCUGUGGGCCCUGGCUCUGCUCCCGCAUCACACACAUCACUUUUCCUUGCUUAGGAAUUUUGUAAGAAUUGUUUUACCCAAGCCCUGUCAGCUUUCCUUUUCCUGUCCCCACCUGCCCCUGGAGCCUCUCUGGGGCUGCAAUCAGCUCCUCCACAGGCUGGGUCUGUUCUGCUCCUGGAGGCCUCUCUUAGUGGAGGCAGGGCCUCCAGUGGGGUCUCUGGUGCCGUUGGGAGGACAGGAUGGGGAUGGCCGAGCAGCUGGCCUCUCUGAGGUGGCUUCACAGAGGGAUUAGGAAGCAGCCGUGGUGGCCCUGCUGUUCCUUGUGCUGUCCCUCACGGUGUCCAGUAACCCGUCACCCAUCGGCACCUAGAACAGGGUCUUGGAGGGAUCGGUUGGGUCCAGGUUGUGAAGGCAGGACUGGGGCUCAUGCUGAGGGGGUCAGAGGCAGGGAGAGGCCUGGAGGCAACUUUGCUUGGGUGGAAUAAACCAAAGUCCACACGUCCACCGACAGCAAUAAAAAGAGUGUGCUUCUCCUUUUUUGCUCCCUCCCACCACCUUCCAGGUUGUUGUCAGAGAAAGUGUGAAGCUACCUCUUCAGCACAGGCCAGCAGCAGUCCUGGCUCAGCCCCUGGCCUCGCUGCCCACCCCUAGCCCCUCUGCACCUUCAAAGGUUUUUGUGACACAAAGACACCUGUUUAGAAAGACCGUCUGGUGAAAGAGAAGAGGUCUCCCUGGAUUCCAUUUUACCUUAACUCGGUUUAAAUCAGGGUGCUUGUGCUCCCCUGCUUCUCCCAGCCUCUGGGCCUCGGGCCUGAGCGGCUUCACCUGCGUGCUGGGAUCGCGGCUGAGUCAUACCCUCGCCCAGCCUGUGGGUCCUCAUGCUGUUCCGGAGCUCCGGACACUGUGGGAUGUGCCGCCAGCUGCUUGGGGGACCUGGCGCUGCGUCUUCUCAGCUGGGGGGCCAGCAGCAGGAGAGCACAGGGAACAUUCGCAGGAAAGGGAAACAAGCGGGGUUUCCUGGCCUGUCGCCCUUCCCGAGGCUGGAUGGCAGAGUCGGGCGGUAAGUUUGUCCCUUUUUGGAGACGGAAGCAGUGAGGGGCCAGGCUGUCCUGCUCUAGCAGAGCCAGGAUGAGCUUUCUGGUGGCAGCCUCCUGGCCACUCUUGCCGUGGAGAAGCUCUCACACACCCGAGGGAAAGGAAGGGCAGCACUGUCCUCGCCGAGGCCACUGCGGUGCCAGGGGAGCAAGGCCAGUGCCACUGUCUGGGCAGAGGAGGCAGCCAGGGCGUCGAGCGGUGGAUGCUGAGCCUCCCGAAGCCUGAGGUGGGGGUGACGUGCCCAGGCCGGGUCGUGGCGCCAGUCACAUGCCAGUGGGGUCUUUGUGUCUGCAGAGGGGAUACCACUGGCUGGAGUUCCCACCACCCAAGCACUUUGCACCUGAUAGAGUGAGGUGGCGUUUGGAUAAUUUCUCCCCUCAGCACUGCGGUUCAAAUGGCCAGAUCCCACUGACGGACCUGUGUUGCAAACCCCCUUUGGAACUCGUGCUGCUAACGUCCUGUGUUGUGCUCAGCAUUGCCAGGUGAAAACAGAAUAGUCGGGAGUGGGACGCUAACAAUUUCAUGGAGAUCUAACUGGGUUGUCAGGUGUCCAUGGCCGGAGGGAAGCAGUUUCAGAACGACAGUGACUGUCAGCAUUUGGUCCCGUAAGGACUGGAAGUGAAAGCGGCAGAAGCUGCUGCAGUGUCAGCACGAGCAGGAAUCAGCGGCCCCCAUGCCAGUCGCUUGAGAUGACUCCACAGAGGGCAGUGUCCAAGGUGCCCUGCUAUGCCCAGACGCCCUCCCAAGGCCAGCCGACCCCUCCUUGCCUCCCAAGCCACCAGUCUGCCAUCAAGUGUCCACCCUGAAGCAGGGCCACUGCCCUGCAUGGGCUUCCACCAAGUGAUUUCACUGAGUCCUCAUUCUCAAGGCCACACCACGAGCAGAGACAACAGAGAGCUUUCUGACCUUCCCCACUGCCACUUCCUGGGGCCGGGGCCGCAUUUAAAUAUCUUUUCUAAAGGGCUCGGUCCACAGAGCCUUGGUACUUGUGAGAAUCUUGGAUUCUAAGCAGAAGGUGCAGUUUCCCCCCUGUCACCAGGCAGACGUGGGUUGGGACAGGGAGCGGGUCUGCCUGUCUCCAUCCGCAGUGACUCUCCCCGCUCCCCGAAGGAGCCGAUCCUCUGCUGACCCCUCUGCCCCUCUUCCCCGAGCCUCCAGGCGGGGUGGUGCCGAGCUCUGCACCCAGGGCCCAGGAGGCGCGGUACCCUAUGGCGGUCGUGAGGCUCACGCCCCCUCCGAGCCUGGCCUCGCCGCAGAGAGCUUGCCGUCUGUAGGGUCCCGGUAACCCUGGAAGAGAGGAAGGAGAAGAAGGGAACUUCUCAUCUCUCCUUGCGACACUGGGCUUUGUAUUGCUUGCCAGAGGGGAGGGGUCACUGCUGGUCCUCUGUCCACCCAUCCAUUGGGUGUGCUGAGCUCGGAGCACAUCUUCUCAGCAAGGUCUUCCUGCCCUUGAGUCCCGGGACUAGGUCUCCCGGAAACGAUCGGAAUUGACCUGGGACUUGACAGCCCUGACCCAGAGCUCGCUGGGGCUUGGUGCUGCGCUAGGCACUUUACAGCUGGAAAACCGGAUACAUGUUCAAUCACCCGCAGCGCGUAAGGUGGCUGGGAGACCCUGUAGACGUGACUUGGAACCAAGGUGACGGCGGGGAGGCCGAGGCGUGGCAGGCAUCCCAGGGUUUUCUGGGCUCUUCUCUCCAUGACAGCCUCCGCCUCU
rnacentral:lncRNA from 1 species